rnacentral:rRNA from 1 species
UACGGAGGGGGCUAGCGUUGUUCGGAUUUACUGGGCGUAAAGGGCGCGUAGGCGGUAUGCCAUGUCAGGGGUGAAAGGCCUGGGCUCAACCCAGGAACUGCCUUUGAAACUGGCAAACUAGAGUCCGAUAGAGGAUGGCGGAAUUCCCAGUGUAGAGGUGAAAUUCGUAGAUAUUGGGAAGAACACCAGUGGCGAAGGCGGCCAUCUGGAUCGGCACUGACGCUGAGGCGCGAAAGCGUGGGGAGCAAACAGGAUUAGAUACCCUUGUA